rnacentral:lncRNA from 1 species
AGUCCGGUCUGCUAAUUAAAUCCCCUAAGCUCCCCUUUUGCAAGUAUUCGUAAAUUAGAAAGAUUGAUUCCUCUGAAUGGCAAAAUCCAAGAACUUUAGUGAUGUUCUUAUGUCUGAUCUUGGCUAAUGUCUUGACCUCAGCCUUCAAUGCUUUUGGAGAUUGGUUCCCGAUGUUGACAAGCUUCUUCACGGCAACCAGUUCAUCACUUGGUAAACAUAUAAUGUACACUCUACCAAAAGCUCCACCAUUUCCAACAGAACUUUUCUCAUCCAUUCCCAUGACUAAAUCAUGCUCUGUGACUCUGAGAGG